rnacentral:rRNA from 1 species
AGAGUUUGAUCCUGGCUCAGGAUGAACGCUGGCGGCGUGCUUAACACAUGCAAGUCGAACGAAGCACCUUAUUCUGAUUUCUUCGGAAUGAAAAAUUUGGUGACUGAGUGGCGGACGGGUGAGUAACGCGUGGGUAACCUGCCUCAUACAGGGGGAUAACAGUUAGAAAUGACUGCUAAUACCGCAUAAGACCACAGCACCGCAUGGUGCAGGGGUAAAAACUCCGGUGGUAUGAGAUGGACCCGCGUCUGAUUAGGUAGUUGGUGGGGUAACGGCCUACCAAGCCGACGAUCAGUAGCCGACCUGAGAGGGUGACCGGCCACAUUGGGACUGAGACACGGCCCAAACUCCUACGGGAGGCAGCAGUGGGGAAUAUUGCACAAUGGGGGAAACCCUGAUGCAGCGACGCCGCGUGAGCGAAGAAGUAUUUCGGUAUGUAAAGCUCUAUCAGCAGGGAAGAAGAAAUGACGGUACCUGACUAAGAAGCACCGGCUAAAUACGUGCCAGCAGCCGCGGUAAUACGUAUGGUGCAAGCGUUAUCCGGAUUUACUGGGUGUAAAGGGAGCGUAGACGGAGUGGCAAGUCUGAUGUGAAAACCCGGGGCUCAACCCCGGGACUGCAUUGGAAACUGUCAAUCUAGAGUACCGGAGAGGUAAGCGGAAUUCCUAGUGUAGCGGUGAAAUGCGUAGAUAUUAGGAGGAACACCAGUGGCGAAGGCGGCUUACUGGACGGUAACUGACGUUGAGGCUCGAAAGCGUGGGGAGCAAACAGGAUUAGAUACCCUGGUAGUCCACGCCGUAAACGAUGA